rnacentral:rRNA from 1 species
CAGCCGCCGUGGGAAUACGGAGGGGGCUAGCGUUGUUCGGAAUUACUGGGCGUAAAGCGCACGUAGGCGGCUUUGUAAGUCAGAGGUGAAAGCCUGGAGCUCAACUCCAGAAUUGCCUUUGAGACUGCAUCGCUUGAACGUCGGAGAGGUGAGUGGAAUUCCGAGUGUAGAGGUGAAAUUCGUAGAUAUUCGGAAGAACACCAGUGGCGAAGGCGGCUCACUGGACGACUGUUGACGCUGAGGUGCGAAAGCGUGGGGAGCAAACAGGAUUAGAUACCCGCGUAGUCCCUGUCUCUUAUAC